rnacentral:rRNA from 1 species
AUGCUGAACACACAUAACCCCAUUGUCAAGUUGUUUAGGACAGCAAGUCAAAGAUUAGCUAGGAGUGAUUCCGAUCAUUUAACAAUCAGGAUAUAUGGCAAACCUGAUGCCCAUGGAGACAUCUACAGUGCUCCAGUCGCGUCUCAGGUUGUUGGAUUUGUGGUCGGUGAUAUUGGGUCAUCUAAUGUAGGACGAGACAUUAUAAUAGAAGACCAUUCAUCACAGUUACCGCGAAUUAGUGAGAAACACCCCAAGUUUAUGUCCAUGCAGUAUCCUCUCUUAUUCCCAUACGGGGAAGAUGGCUACCAUGAUGAGCUUAUGUACCGGCAACGAUCAAGUACUUCAGCCAAUCAGUGCCAAAAAGUCAUAAUGCUACAGUACUACACAUAUAGGUUGCAUGAUAGGCCAAAUGACUUCAAUACUCCAUUACGAUGCAAAAGAUUAACACAUGUUUAUUAUGUGGAUGGAUAUUGUUGUGUUGCAACAUUCUGUAUUGGAUUCUACCGCAAGCCUAGCUUUCUAAGUAAAUAUAGAUCAUCAUCAUUUAGUUCUUUGGCAAAUUCUGUAUCAAGAGGUAUUACAUCCAGUUCUUCUGUUGGGCACAGGAUUAUAUUACCAUCCUCCUUUACUGGAGGCCCUCACUAUUUAUACCAAAACUAUCAAGAUUCCAUCGCUAUUUGUAGAAAAUAUGGUUGCCCAGAUCUAUUUGUGACGUUCACAUCAAAUGCUGCCUGGCCUGAAGUUAUGGACGCUUUAUCCUCCAUUCCAGGUCAAGAGCCAUCUGACCGUCCAGAUAUUAUCAACCGGGUAUUCAAAAUGAAGCUUGAUAUGUUGAUGGAUGAUAUUAAAAAUAAAAAAAUCUUCGGUCCCAUAAAUCUAUCUACACAGUUGAAUUUCAUAAACGUGGCCUCCCACAUGCUCAUAUAA